rnacentral:pre_miRNA from 2 species
UUCUUGCAGCUUUCCAAAAAAUUAGCCCUUUGUGGUAAAAUUUUCCAUGCUUGGUUUCAGCCCAAAGGUAAUUUUUUUGCAAAGUUUGAGA